rnacentral:rRNA from 1 species
AUGGUCUACCGGAUCUCGACGGCGGACGAGUCCGCGGCCGCGCGGCGCGCGUCCGUCGAGCUCGCGCCGCCCCCGCUCGCCUCCCGCGUCUCCGUCCCCAGGCACGCCUUCGGCCUGGACCCGCUCCGGGCCACAACGGCCAGGGCCGACCUCCGGCCGCCCGUCAACUUCUUCAGCUUCGCCGCCCCGGCCCGCGAGCAGGGCUCCCCGCAGCCGGCGGGCUCCGGGCACAACCUCAUCAACGUGUUCGGCAGCGGCGUGCUCGCCGCGAGCGGCGACGGCCUCCUCCUGAUCGGCACCUUCAGGAACCGCGCCAGCGCCGCCAGCAUCUUCCAGCACCAGGUCCCGUCCCCCGCCCCGUUCGAGGUCCUCGACCAGGCCUACGCGCGCUCCUCCUGCUGCGACCCCAUGAGGCUCGCGCGCUUCGUCUGCAACCCCGUCACCGGCGAGCUGGCCCGCCUCCCGGACUUCGACGGCGCGGAGGACGCCUUCACCGCCCCCACGGGCCUCCUCACCCAGGCCAACGGCGGGCACGGCGGACCGCCCCGGAGGUACGCCGCCGCGCAGCUCAGCGUGGUCAACAAGGGGCGGCGUUUCCGGCUGCGCCGGCUCUCCUCGGAGACCGGGGAGUGGUACGAGCUUCUGCUGCCGUCCCCGCUGCCGGCCGGGCGCCUGAUGCACAUGAACCACGAGGUGCUGGACUUCGGUGGGCGGCUCUGGUGGGUGGACGUGAGCUGGGGCGCCAUCAACGUCGACCCUUUCAGCGACCGGCCCGAGCUCUGCCCCGUCGAGCUGCCGGCAGACGUCAUGAUUCCCGACCAACAGGGCGAGGCAGAGAUGAGGCAGCUCCUCCAGCGCAGGCGCAUGGGGGUCAGCGACGGCAGGCUGAGGUUUGUGGAGGUUGCCAAGGACGAGCCCUUCCGCAUCAAAUCGUUCACGCUGGACGAAGAGAGUGGCCGCUGGAUGCUGGAGCACCAGGUGUCGUGGAGAACACUCUGUCGCGAAGCCAAGGCGUCGCCUUUGAUUGCUGCCAUUGAUCCACUCAGCGCCGACUUGCUGUACCUCACUGUGUCUGUGCCUGUGGGCAAAGGGUUCUGUGCAAGCGUGGACAUGCGCUGGAAGAGACAGGUUGAGUCUGUGGAGUUAGGGCGUGGUGUCAAUCCAAGCAAGUGCAUCUCAAGCUUCGUUCUGCCAUGUGUGCUCCCCUCAUUUCUCGGAUCAAGCCCGAUUCCAGGCAAGAUGAACACCGAGCAAAACAAGACUUUGGCAGAUUUUCUUGUUCGCUCAGACAUCCCAUAG